GAAGUUCCAAUACCUGGAAGGUGUUUCGCACUUGUUUUUGCAUAAAUCUUUUGUGUUUGCUUCCAUGUUACUUCUGAGCCUUCCUAGCUUUGUCCGUAAGGUCAGUAGGUCCUCUGUGACUACGUGAUCUUGAUAGUAGCAAGAACAGAGGGUUGAAGGGUUCUUUGGGACUUAGAUCAAGUUUAUUGGAGAGUUCUUGAAUUGGCACUCAUUCACCCCCCAUUUGGUCACCCUUUUCGGUUCUUCAUUUCAUAUCAGAGCCGGUUAAGGUUUCUCCAUACCCUAAUCGGUUUUGAGAUCCAAAAUGGCAACCUCUGAGCGUUCUUCCUCAACUGUACCUCCCUACUUUGAUGGCUCUGACUAUUGGUAUUGGAAAACACGCAUGAGAGCCCAUCUAAAUAGUAGAGGCGCAGGGGUUUGGGAAAUCACUCAGGAUGUUAUGUAUG
rnacentral:lncRNA from 1 species